rnacentral:rRNA from 1 species
GAGUUUGAUCCUGGCUCAGAUUGAACGCUGGCGGCAUGCUUUACACAUGCAAGUCGAACGGCAGCGCGGGGCAACCUGGCGGCGAGUGGCGAACGGGUGAGUAAUAUAUCGGAACGUACCCAAGAGUGGGGGAUAACGUAGCGAAAGUUACGCUAAUACCGCAUACAAUCUACGGAUGAAAGUGGGGGAUCGCAAGACNUCAUGCUCCUGGAGCGGCCGAUAUCUGAUUAGCUAGUUGGUGAGGUAAAGGCUCACCAAGGCGACGAUCAGUAGCUGGUCUGAGAGGACGACCAGCCACACUGGAACUGAGACACGGUCCAGACUCCUACGGGAGGCAGCAGA